UACGGAAGGCAGCAGUGGGGAAUAUUGCACAAUGGGCGCAAGCCUGAUGCAGCCAUGCCGCGUGUAUGAAGAAGGCCUUCGGGUUGUAAAGUACUUUCAGUCGUGAGGAAGGUGUUAAGGUUAAUAACCUUAGCAAUUGACGUUAGCGACAGAAGAAGCACCGGCUAACUCCGUGCCAGCAGCCGCGGUAAUACGGAGGGUGCGAGCGUUAAUCGGAAUUACUGGGCGUAAAGGGCACGCAGGCGGUUAAUUAAGUUGGAUGUGAAAUCCCCGGGCUUAACCUGGGAAUGGCAUUCAAGCUGGUUAGCUAGAGUCUUGUAGAGGGGGUAGAAUUCCAUGUGUAGCGGUGAAAUGCGUAGAGAUGUGGAGGAAUACCGGUGGCGAAGGCGGCCCCUGGACAAAGGACUGACGCUCAUGUGCGAAAGCGUGGGGAGCGAAAC
rnacentral:rRNA from 1 species